AACGAACGCUGGCGGCAGGCUUAACACAUGCAAGUCGAACGGGUGUAGCAAUACAUCAGUGGCAGACGGGUGAGUAACACGUGGGAACCUUCCUAGGGGUACGGAACAACUCAGGGAAACUUGAGCUAAUACCGUAUACGUCCGUGAGGAGAAAGAUUUAUCGCCCUUAGACGGGCCCGCGUCGGAUUAGCUAGUUGGUGGGGUAACGGCCUACCACGGAGACGAUCCGUAGCUGAUCUUAGAGGAUGAUCAGCCACACUGGGACUGAGACACGGCCCAGACUCCUACGGGAGGCAGCAGUGGGGAAUCUUGGACAAUGGGCGCAAGCCUGAUCCAGCCAUGCCGCGUGAGUGAAGGAGGUCUUCGGAUUGUAAAGCUCUUUUGCCAGGGACGAUAAUGACGGUGCCUGGAGAAUAAGCCCCGGCAAACUUCGUGCCAGCCGCCGCGGUAA
rnacentral:rRNA from 1 species